AGUGAACGCUGGCGGUAGGCCUAACACAUGCAAGUCGAACGGCAGCACAGUAAGAGCUUGCUCUUACGGGUGGCGAGUGGCGGACGGGUGAGGAAUACAUCGGAAUCUACUUUUUCGUGGGGGAUAACGUAGGGAAACUUACGCUAAUACCGCAUACGACCUACGGGUGAAAGCAGGGGAUCUUCGGACCUUGCGCGAUUGAAUGAGCCGAUGUCGGACUAGCUAGUUGGCGGGGUAAAGGCCCACCAAGGCGACGACCCGUAGCUGGUCUGAGAGGAUGAUCAGCCACACUGGAACUGAGACACGGUCCAGACUCCUACGGGAGGCAGCAGUGGGGAAUAUUGGACAAUGGGCGCAAGCCUGAUCCAGCCAUACCGCGUGGGUGAAGAAGGCCUUCGGGUUGUAAAGCCCUUUUGUUGGGGAAGAAAAGCAGCAGGUUAAUACCCCGCUGUUCUGACGGUACCCAAAGAAUAAGCACCGGCUAACUUCGUG
rnacentral:rRNA from 1 species